rnacentral:lncRNA from 1 species
GCGAGGUUGCCUUUGCCCAGCUUUUAUAAGGCCAAAGAUCGAUCGGCGCUGUGUCGCCACUUAAAUGCCCUGUAACUGGUUGCCUUCAAUGAUGAAACUCAAGCGUUGGCUGGAAACUGAUGAAACGGAGGAAGAAGACAGUGAACAAACGCUGCAAAACGACUCCGUUUUCCAGUUCUAAAGGCUGUCUUCAAUUUGGUCCCUGUAAUUCUUGUAAUUUUGCAAUCAAGUCCCU